AUCGCUUCUCGGCCUUUUGGCUAAGAUCAAAGUGUAGUAUCUGUUCUUAUCAGCUUAGUAUCUGAUACGUCCUGCAUCGCAGGACCAGAAUAUUAAACUCAUUUUUGGCUCAUGACGGAGUGCUAGGGGCUUGCUCCACCUCGCUUCGCAGACUGGCGCUUUAUACAUCGCGCCAGACUCGGAGUC